rnacentral:rRNA from 1 species
CCCUUAGACGUUCUGGGCCGCACGCGCGCUACACUGACCAGUGCAACAAGCAUCCGUCCUUGGCCGACAGGCCCGGGCAAUCUUUGAACGCUGGUCGUGAUGGGGAUAGACUUUUGCAAUUUUUGGUCUUCAACGAGGAAUUCCUAGUAAACGCAAGUCAUCAACUUGCAUUGAUUACGUCCCUGCCCCUUGUACACACCGCCCGUCGCACCUACCGAUUGAAUGGUCCGGUGAAGCCUCCGGAUUGGCGCGCACCUCGGUGCCGCCGAGAAGUUGGCUAAACCUUACCAUUUAGAGGAAGGUGAANUCGUAACA